rnacentral:rRNA from 1 species
AUGGUUCCAACAAAAAUUAAUAUGAUUGAAGCAAAAAACCUCAGUAAAAAAACUAGAGUAGUGUUCUUGAAGCAAAAAGAACAGAUGGUUCCAGCAAAAAAAGGGUUUCCAGCACCUCCGAUUAAGGUGGUCGUAGCUUUUUCCCUAGCCAGUUCCAGGACCUCGGAGUGUGGACGCAACUUUUUUCAUGGCCGGUUGCAGCCUCUUCAACAGUUGCAGGAAAAAAAAGGGUUAAGGAUGGGUGACGAAGGGGGUGGAGUUCAUCCAUGGCUGCUGGAGAGAGAAGGGGAUGGAGUUCAUCCAUGGCCGGAGGAGAGAAGGGGAAGGAGUCCAUCCAUGGCUACUGGAGAGAGAAGGGGAUAG